rnacentral:rRNA from 1 species
CGCAUCUGUGCAUGCAGCAUAUCAAUAAGCGGAGGAAAAGAAACUAACAAGGAUUCCCUUAGUAACGGCGAGUGAAGCGGGAAGAGCUCAAAUUUGAGAUCUUCAAGGUUUUACCUUGACGAAUUGUAGUUUAAAGAAGUGUUUUCUGCUGAAGUUUUGGUAAAAGUUCUUUAGAAUAGGACAUCAUAGAGGGUGAGAAUCCCGUAUUUGACCAUUUACUUUCAGCUUUGUGAUACACUUUCAAAGAGUCGGAUUGUUUGGGAAUGCAGUCCAAAAUGGGUGGUAAAUUUCAUCUAAAGCUAAAUAUUGGCGAGAGACCGAUAGCGAACAAGUACCGUGAGGGAAAGAUGAAAAGAACUUUGAAAAGAGAGUUAAACAGUACGUGAAAUUGUCAAAAGGGAAGCGUUUGACACCAGUGUUGUUUUCUCGAAAAUCAAUUAAAAAUGGCUCGAUUUUGUAUUGCUGAGACCUUAAAAGCUCACUGUACAUUUUUCGUGUCUUUUUUAAUGCACUUUUCGUUUAGCAAGUCAACAUCAGUUUCUUUUGUUGUAAAAGGGUCAUUGGAAGGUGGCUUUCUUUUCGGAGAAAGUGUUUAUAGCCUUUGGCCUCUGCAAUCGGAGAGACUGAGGUCUGCAGCGUAGACUCUUCGGGGUUAGAUACAUUUGUGCUAAGUUAUAGCUUUUUAUAGACAACUUGUUGACUAUAAUUAGUCCUUGUAGCUUACUCGCUUAUGUUAUUUUACCUACGCUUAGGAUGUUGAUAGUCACAGCGUGUAC